GACGAACGCUGGCGGCGUGCUUAACACAUGCAAGUCGAACGGAAAGGCCCUGCUUUUGUGGGGUGCUCGAGUGGCGAACGGGUGAGUAACACGUGAGUAACCUGCCCUUGACUUUGGGAUAACUUCAGGAAACUGGGGCUAAUACCGGAUAGGAGCUCCUGCUGCAUGGUGGGGGUUGGAAAGUUUCGGCGGUUGGGGAUGGACUCGCGGCUUAUCAGCUUGUUGGUGGGGUAGUGGCUUACCAAGGCUUUGACGGGUAGCCGGCCUGAGAGGGUGACCGGCCACAUUGGGACUGAGAUACGGCCCAGACUCCUACGGGGGGCAGCAGUGGGGAAUAUUGCACAAUGGGCGGAAGCCUGAUGCAGCAACGCCGCGUGCGGGAUGACGGCCUUCGGAUUGUAAACCGCUUUCGCCUGUGACGAAGCGUGAGUGACGGUAAUGGGUAAAGAAGCACCGGCUAACUACGUG
rnacentral:rRNA from 1 species